GUUAUCGUAGCUUACCGUUAUUUUAAAGCACGGCUUUGAAGCAGCCAAGACGGAUCCACAUUCCCGAAAACA
rnacentral:tRNA from 1 species